rnacentral:rRNA from 1 species
GCAGCCCCCGUAAUACGUAGGUGGCCAGCGUUUUCUGGAAUUAUUGGGCGUAAAGGGCUCGCAGGCGGUUUUUUAAGUUUGAUGUGAAAGCCCCCGGCUCAACCGUGGAGGGUCAUUGGAAACUGGGCAACUUGAGUGCAGAAGAGGAGAGUGGAAUUCCAUGUGUAGCGGUGAAAUGCGUAGAGAUUUGGAGGAACACCAGUGGCGAAGGCGACUCUCUGGUCUGUAACUGACCCUGAGGAGCGAAAGCGUGGGGAGCCAACAGGAUUAGAUACCCUGGUAGUUCACGCCGUAAACGAUGAGUGCUAAGUGUUAGGGGGUUUCCGCCCGUUAGUGCUGCAGCUAACGCA